CCAAAAUGGUGAAGGUCAAAGUCAGAAUUUUCACUCAUGUUUCUAGGAAGAUAAAGGUCAUUAUUUUUGUCUACCAUGCUUCUGAACCCAAAAUACCAUUUGUGGGAAAGAGAACAGUGGGGUAGAAACUAUGUAGGACUGUAGGCUCAGGAGUCCCACAUUCAAGUCUUGGUUCUCUAUUAGCUAUAAAGUAUUGCACAAAUUACCUACCAUCUCUGGGUAUAUUAUCACUUUUAAACUGAUGAUAAUACUACCUGCUUCACAGGGCUGUUUUACAGAUUAAAUACCAUAAUGUAUAUGAAGUUCCGAUAUAGUGCUCAGCACAUGGGAAAUACUUAAGAAAUGACAACUAUUUUUUCUACAGUCCCCCUUGUCUUCAGGAGGUAUAUUCUGAGUACCCCAGGGGAUGACUGAAACCAAGGAUUGUAUUGAACUCUCUAUAUAGUUAUUCCUCAGUGUCUGUAAGGAAUUGGUUUCAGGCCCCCUUUCCUCCCCCCAGGAUACCAAA
rnacentral:lncRNA from 1 species